UAUAUAUAGUAUGUUAACAGUGCUCCAAUAGAAUGCACAGUUAUCCUGAAGACCCGUACCAGAUUGAUGUACAGUAAUUAACACUGUAUCGCCACUUGAUCGAGUAUUUUUAUAGAACAUUUGCAGUUUUGUUGUUUAAUUAAUUGCGAUUGUUGGAUAAUAUAAAGAUCGUUCAAUAUGUUUAAGGUUCUGGCUAUUGACCAGUGUCAAAAAAUGGGAAAGCCAUUGGCUGCUGUGCAACCACUGCAGUGUAUAAAGGUGUCACAUGUCUGGGAGCUAAUCGGAAUAGAUCUAACUGGACCUCUUCCAAAAACGUCUAGUGGCUUCCAGUACAUUAUGACUGCAACAGACUAUUUUUCAAAAUGGGUUGAGGCUUUUCCAUUAAAAAGCAAAAGUGCUGCUGAGGUAGCUCAUCAGUUGUGCUCACUCAUAUAUAGACAUGGCUCCCAAAACGAAUUUUAUCCGACCAAGGAAGAGAAUUUGUUAACGAGCUCAACUCAAGACUUUGCAGCUUAAUGAAAAUAGAAGUGUCACAGCAGCGCAUCACCCUCAGACAAAUGGCCUCGACGAAAAGACAAAUGACAACAUAAA